rnacentral:ribozyme from 1 species
GAGUUUGAAAAAAAAAAAAAAAAAAAAAAAAAAAAAACAUGACAA